rnacentral:rRNA from 1 species
UGUGGGGAAUAUUGCACAAUGGGCGAAAGCCUGAUGCAGCAACGCCGCGUGAGCGAUGAAGGCCUUCGGGUUGUAAAGCUCUGUCUUCGCUGACGAAAUUGACGGUAAGCGAGGAGGAAGCCACGGCGGAACUACGUGCCAGCCAGCCCCGGGUAUAA